rnacentral:rRNA from 1 species
GACGAACGCUGGCGGCGUGCUUAACACAUGCAAGUCGAACGAUGAAGCCGGAGCUUGCUCUGGUGAAUUAGUGGCGAACGGGUGAGUAACACGUGAGUAACCUGCCCUUGACUCUGGGAUAACUGCGGGAAACUGUAGCUAAUACCGGAUACGACCCUCGGAGGCAUCUCCUGGGGGUGGCAAGAAUUUCGGUCAAGGAUGGACUCGCGGCCUAUCAGCUAGUUGGUGAGGUAAAGGCUCACCAAGGCGACGACGGGUAGCCGGCCUGAGAGGGUGACCGGCCACACUGGGACUGAGACACGGCCCAGACUCCUACGGGAGGCAGCAGUGGGGAAUAUUGCACAAUGGGCGCAAGCCUGAUGCAGCAACGCCGCGUGAGGGAUGACGGCCUUCGGGUUGUAAACCUCUUUUAGCAGGGAAGAAGCGAAAGUGACGGUACCUGCAGAAAAAGCACCGGCUAACUACGUGCCAGCCGCCGCGAAAC